GCCGCUUUAGCUCAGUUGGUUAGAGCAUCACUUUUGUAAAGUGAGGGUCCUGGGUUCGAGUCCCUGAAGCGGCUCCA
rnacentral:tRNA from 1 species